AGCUUUAUAGUUAAAAGAUAAUAUUAAAUUGCAAAUUUAAAGUUAAUAAAAAUUUAAGGCUU
rnacentral:tRNA from 1 species